rnacentral:rRNA from 1 species
UAAGGAAUAUUGGUCAAUGGACGCAAGUCUGAACCAGCCAUGCCGCGUGAAGGAUGAAGGUCCUCUGGAUUGUAAACUUCUUUUAUCUGGGACGAAAACGGGAUUUUUAUCUCAAUUGACGGUACCAGAGGAAUAAGCACCGGCUAACUCCAUGCCAGCAGCCGCGGUAAUACGGAGGGUGCGAGCGUUAUCCGGAUUUACUGGGUUUAAAGGGUGCGUAGGUGGGCUUAUAAGUCAGUGGUGAAAUCUCCGAGCUUAACUUGGAAACUGCCGUUGAUACUAUAGGUCUUGAAUUAUCUGGAGGUAAGCGGAAUAUGUCAUGUAGCGGUGAAAUGCUUAGAUAUGACAUAGAACACCAAUUGCGAAGGCAGCUUACUACAUAUAAAUUGACGCUGAGGCACGAAAGCGUGGGGAUCAAACA